AUAUGAAAAACUACUGUGAAGUAUAGGUGGGAAUUAGUUAAAAGCUUUAUUAAUUUUAAUUACUUUUUGUAUAACGGCUUAGCAAAUGAUAAACUGUAAGUGGUUUCCCGAAUUCUGACGAGUUAAAUAAUAUUUGUUUAGAACUUAAGUAGGUUAUGUUUCAUAAUAAUUACAAAAAUUUUAUUUAGCGGCUAUAUACUAAUCGCGUUGGGUGAUAGCUGGUUUUUUAUUAUUACACAUUAGUGUGCCUAAAAUUAUAAGUGAUAAAUUUUUGGGUUAUAAUAAGGGGAAAGCUCUUGAUUUUAAUUUAAUAAAAUAAUUUAGUCUAAAUUUAAGUAGGUUUUAUAGCGGCCAUCUUAAGUUUAAUGCGUUGUUGCUUUAAAUUAAAGUAAACUAAAAAUUAGAUAAUACUAAGUUAAUAUAAAUAAAUAAAAUAUUACUAUGAACAAAAAAGUAGUAAUUAAUUUUGCUAAGAUAAGUAUUAUUAUUUUUUGAAAAUAAAGACGAUAAAUUUGAAAAUGAAGAAGUAAUAAAUAAUAAGGUGUAGAGUAAAGGAACUCGGCAAAUUUAAACUUCGACUGUUUAACAAAAACAUUGCUUCAUGAGAUUAAGAUAUGAGGUGAGCCCUGCCCGGUGAUUUACGAGUUAAACGGCUGCGGUAUCCUGACUGUGCUAAGGUAGCGUGAUAAUUCGUCCUUUAAUUGUGGACUUGUAUGAAUGGGUAAACGAGGGUUUAGCUGUCUCUGCUUUAUAAUUAGAAAUUGGAGUUUAGGUGAAAAUACCUGAAUGUAAGUGUGGGACAAAAAGACCCCAUAGAGCUUAGUUUAAAGUAUAUUUGAUUAUUAAGUGUGUUGUGUAUAUUAAUUGUUAAAUUUUUGGAAACUUAACUGGGGCGGUUAGGAAAGCUUUUAGUCUUUCUUUGGAGAUUAAGACUUACAAGUUGAUAAAGAAUGAUCCUUUUAAGAUAUUAGGAAAAGCUACCUUGGGGGUAACAGACUAAUUCUAUUUGAGAGUCCGAAUUGACAAUAGAGUUUGGCACAUCGAUGUUGGCUUAGGAUGUCCUGAGGGUAGUAGCAGCUUUCAAGGGUGGGUUUGUUCAACCUUUAAAAUCCUACAUGAGCUGAGUUCAGACCGGCGUAAGCUAGGUCAGUUUCUAUCUACAUUUACAAGGAAACAUGAGAUAUAUUUGUACGAAAGGACUUUAUUUCUAUAUAGAAAUAUACAAUAUUUGAAGAUUAAAAUAUGGUAAUAAAUGGUAAUUAAGUAUCACAAGAAUAAUGACUAAAAAAGAAAAAAGUACCGAC
rnacentral:rRNA from 1 species